rnacentral:ribozyme from 13 species
UUUUUUUUUUUUUUCUUUUUUUUGCUGUUUUUUCUUCGCACUCGAGGGAUCCUCAAAA